rnacentral:rRNA from 1 species
UGGGGAAUAUUGGACAAUGGGGGCAACCCUGAUCCAGCAAUGCCACGUGUGUGAAGAAGGCCUGAGGGUUGUAAAGCACUUUAGUCAGGGAGGAAGGCCCUGUGGUUAAUAGCCAUGGGGAUUGACGUUACCUGAAGAAUAAGCACCGGCUAACUCUGUGCCAGCAGCCGCGGUAAUACGGAGGGUCCAAGCGUUAAUCGGAAUUACUGGGCGUAAAGCGCGCGUAGGCGGUUUAGCAAGUUGCAUGUGAAAGCCCUGGGCUCAACCUAGGAACUGCAUUCAAAACUACUAAGCUAGAGUACGAGAGAGGAGAGUAGAAUUUCUGGUGUAGCGGUGAAAUGCGUAGAUAUCAGAAGGAAUACCAAUGGCGAAGGCAGCUCUCUGGCUCGUCACUGACGCUGAGGUGCGAAAGCGUGGGUAGCAAACAGG